rnacentral:rRNA from 1 species
UGAACAUUGAGCCUUGAUGUGUAGGAUAGGUGGGAGGCUUUGAAGCGUGGACGCCAGUCUGCGUGGAGCCAACCUUGAAAUACCACCCUUUAAUGUUUGAUGUUCUAACGUUGGCCCCUUACCGGGGUUGCGGACAGUGUCUGGUGGGUAGUUUGACUGGGGCGGUCUCCUCCCAAAGCGUAACGGAGGAGCACGAAGGUUAGCUAAUCCUGGUCGGACAUCAGGAGGUUAGUGCAAUGGC